GCAAAGCCUGAUUGUGUAGACAUAGAUAGGGCUGCUUUACUAGGAAUUAUGGAUCGCAAUCAGUCCCACUACGGCACAUCUUCGCGUUCAACAAUAUUUCGACUCAAAUUCUAAGUGGUCGAUCAAGAAAAUUAUAAUUACACAAAAAAA